AAGUGGAGUUAGUGUCGGGGCUCUUGGACGGGGCCACUUGACUGCGUCAUGAUCUGAGUUGGGACACACUAUUUUAUUCCGCAGCCAUCCAGACAGAAAGUGAGGAGCAGCAAUUUGCCAGUUAUAGCAACAAAGAGAUUGAGGUAGACAGAAGGUCAGAAUCCAAACUCUUUCUGGCUCCCUGACAGCAGCCUCACAAAAACAGGACACACGGCUAGCAGCCUGUGAGGAUCAAGUGAAGCGCAUGGGGACACUCCUGUGAGGACCAGUGCUCUGGGGCAGAGUCCCUGUCUGCUCCCCGGGCACAUCCCUUGUGAUGCUCUUCCAAGGGUCCACUGGAAGACCGGAAGACCAAGGUUUGAUUUGUGCUGCCAUCCUGGUAGAAUUGAGGUAGGAUGGAAGAAAUAAAAGCAACCAAAAAACCCUCAAGCACUUAAGAAUGAGGCCAAUGAAAAAUGUGCAAGAUGCUACAUGGAAAAUUACAAUUACUAAGAAAAAUUAAAGAGGACUUAAAUUAACAGAUUGCACAGCUAGGAAGAAGAGAGAAGGGAGGAGCCAUGGAGGGAGAUACAUCCUUCCAGGUCAUGACCUCGGUGACUAUCUCUUCUGACCUCCUACUGGCAAGUCAGUAAAGCACUCCCAUUACGUAAUCACCUUCCAAAAGCCCCACCUGUGAGCACAUGAGGCCUCUGGAGGACGUUCAAUCUAAACCACAACAGAGUCACUUAACCUUUUCAUGCUUCAGAGUUGGGAAUCAAAUGAAUCGAUGUGAAGACUCGUAUCCUGGAAGAAGCUGGUUUCCUAGCAGAGUAUUCAGGGCUUCACGAGCCAGGUAGAAUUUCACUCAGUUUCUGAGGUUUGCAUGUGCCUCACCCAUAGUUUAAAUCAACAUUUUUCUGACUACCUAUCUACAUUCAGUUUUACUUUUUCCCCAUGGCUAAGACCACAGAAAGCUUUGGCUUGCAGCAAGUAUACAUUUCCAUGGAAACCAAACCAAAAGCAAUAAAAAAAAGAAGGCACUGAAUGUAAAAUAUCUUUCGGUUGCCAAAUUUCAGCACAC